rnacentral:rRNA from 1 species
GUUGGGGGUUUAAUUAGUAUAAUAAAAAAAAAAUUAAUAAAAAUAAUUUUAAAAUAUUUAAUGGGGGUUUAAGUAUUUUAUAAAGAAAUAAUUUUUUAAUUUAUAGAUAAUUAGUAUUGUGGGAGAAUUUUGAAAUAAAAGAAAAUAAUUUUUGGGAAAGUAAAUUUUAAUUAUUGUAUCUUGUGUAUCAGAGUUUAUUUAAUAAUAUAUUUUAAUUAAAAAUUUCUCGAAUUUAAAAGAGUUAAUUAAUUAUAAAAUUUAUUGUAGCAAAAAUAUUUUAAAUAAUUAAUUAGAAAUGAAAUGUUAAUCGUUUUUAAAUAUAUCUAGUUUUUUUAGAAAUAAAUUUAAUUUUAUAUUAAUUUAAUAAAAAUAUUAAUUAAAAAAAAUUUUUAAAAAUUAAAUUUAAUAUUUUAAGGGAUAAGCUUUAAAUUAAAUUAUUAUAAUUAAAAUAUAUAAAAUAUUUGAAAAUUUUAAAAUUUAUAUUGUUUAAAAAUUAUAAUUUUUUAUAAAUAAUUUUAAUUAAAAUAAAAUUUUAUUGAAAAAAUUUAAUUUUUUAUAAAAAAAUAAUAUUUAAUGUAAUAAUUUUAGGUAUAAUGAUAAAAUUAGUAUAUAUUAUAAUUAUUAUAAUAAAAAAUAAAAUAAUUUUUAAAAUUUAAUAUAAGAAUUAUUUAUAAGGAAUUCGGCAAAUUUUUAUAUUCACUUGUUUAUCAAAAACAUGUCUUUUUGAGAAUAAUUUAAAGUCUGAUCUGCCCACUGAUAAUAAAUUAAAGGGCUGCAGUAUUUUGACUGUACAAAGGUAGCAUAAUCAUUAGUCUCUUAAUUAGUGACUUGUAUGAAAGAUUGGAUGAAAUGUAAACUGUCUUAUAGAUAAAUAUAAAAUUUAAUUUUUUAAUUAAAAAGUUAAAAUAAAUUUAAAAGACGAGAAGACCCUAUAGAGUUUAAUAUAAUUAAUAAUAAUAAUAUUUUUUAUUAAUUUAAAUUAAAAUUAUUUUUUAUAUUUUGUUGGGGUGAUAUAAAAAUAAAAUUAACUUUUUUUAAAUAAUAUAUAUAUAUAUAUAUAUAUAUAUAAUUUAACAUUAAUAAAUGAAUAAAUGAUCCAGAAUUUUUGAUUAAAAGAUUUAAUUACCUUAGGGAUAACAGCGUAAUUUUUUUUUUUAGUUCGUAUAAAAAAAAAAGUUUGCGACCUCGAUGUUGGAUUAAGAUAAAAUUUAAAUGCAAAAGUUUAAAAUUUUGAUCUGUUCGAUCAUUAAAAUCUUACAUGAUCUGAGUUCAAACCGGUGUGAGCCAGGUUGGUUUCUAUCUUUAAACCAUUAAAAUAUUUUAGUACGAAAGGAUCAAAUAUUUAAAAUAAUUUUAUAUAAAUGAAUUUUAUUAAAUUAUGUUUAAAUGUGG